CGGGGCGUGGCGCAGUCCGGUAGCGCGCCUGGUUUGGGACCAGGAGGUCGCGGGUUCGAAUCCCGUCGCCCCGA
rnacentral:tRNA from 1 species